GACGAACGCUGGCGGCGUGCUUAACACAUGCAAGUCGAACGGAAAGGCCCUGCUUUUGUGGGGUGCUCGAGUGGCGAUCGGGUGAGUAACACGUGAGUAACCUGCCCUUGACUUUGGGAUAACUUCAGGAAACUGGGGCUAAUACCGGAUAGGAGCUCCUGCUGCAUGGUGGGGGUUGGAAAGUUUCGGCGGUUGGGGAUGGACUCGCGGCUUAUCAGCUUGUUGGUGGGGGAGUGGCAUACCAAGGCUUUGACGGGUAGCCGGCCUGGGAGGGUGACCGGCCACAUUGGGACUGAGAUACGGACCAGACUCCUACGGUGGGCAGAAGUGGGGAAUAUUGCACAGUGGGCGGAAGCCUGUUGCAGCAACGCCGCGUGCGUGAUGACGGCCUUCGGGUUGUAAACCGCUUUCGCCUGUGACGAAGCGUGAGUGACGGUAAUGGGUAAAGAAGCACCGGCUAACUACGUG
rnacentral:rRNA from 1 species